ACGGGAGGCAGCAGUGAGGAAUAUUGGUCAAUGGGCGGAAGCCUGAACCAGCCAAGUCGCGUGAAGGAUGAAGGUAUUAUGUAUUGUAAACUUCUUUAGACGUAGAGAAAUAAGGGGAUCGUGAUCCCUGAUGCUAGUAUACGUAGAAUAAGGAUCGGCUAACUCCGUGCCAGCAGCCGCGGUAAUACGGAGGAUCCGAGCGUUAUCCGGAUUUAUUGGGUUUAAAGGGAGCGUAGGCCGUGCUUUAAGCGUGUUGUGAAAUGUAGGCGCCCAACGUCUGCACUGCAGCGCGAACUGGAGCACUUGAGUACGCAGGAAGUAGGCGGAAUUCGUCGUGUAGCGGUGAAAUGCUUAGAUAUGACGAAGAACUCCGAUUGGGAAGCCAGCUUACUGUAGCGCCACUGACGCUGAUGCUCGAAAGCGUGGGUAUCGAACAGGAUUAGAUACCCUGGUA
rnacentral:rRNA from 1 species